AGCUAGUGGAUUUGUUUGGUCAAGAUGAGUUGCCUUGAAGACGCUCACCUUUCAAGGGGCAUUGAACUCAGGGCACUAAACCCACCCCCAUCCCUUUUCCAGGGGCUCCUGCUGGGCACUCAGGCCUCAGCUGCCCCACGCCCAAGACUACUUGAGUGCCUCUGCGAUGAGAAGAUGACAUGCCACUUACUGCAGCUCCACAGACACCGUAGUGGUUGGCAGACCUCCGGAUAUAGUGCAAGAGGAGAGAAAGACCACCUCUUCUUGCAGAUGACCUACCAACCCUAUGUCAAAGCUAGAGAUGCCUUCCCUUCACCUAGUCACCAGCAAAAGGAGAAGCAGAGGAUUCAACACACAAGCUGUUAACAGCACCACGUAUGCUAACAAGGGCUAAGGAGGGUAAGGCCGGAGAGCUCCGUCAUCCUCCUGACUGAGCAGACUCCUCAGAAGAGGCAUUACGCCCCUUGCAGAAUUGACCUGGCGGGUUGGUACAAGUACAGAGCCCACAGAGAGAAGUCCUGUAGCCGUCCUAGGAGUAUCUGCUGUAUUUCUUCAUCAGUAGCUUUCCUUUUCAAUUUCAACCAUUGACAACAUCUCACCUUUUUUCUUCCUACCUUCUUGUCUUGUAGGAGAAUCCUCCCCCCCCCCCCCCCCUCCAAAUCAAGCCUAGAUCUAUUUAAGGUGAGAAAGGAGAGGAAGGAAAACCAAAAAGAAACAAGAAUAUAGCCAACC